rnacentral:rRNA from 1 species
GUGGAUAGCGGAGAAAUUCCAAUCGAACUCGGAGAUAGCUGGUUCUCCCCGAAAUAGCUUUAGGGCUAGCGUCGGAUAUGUGUAGUGGAGGUAGAGCACUGAAUGGGCUAGGGGGCAUAUCGCUUACCGAACCUUAUCAAACUCCGAAUGCCAUAUACAUUAAGUCCGGCAGUCAGACUACGAAUGAUAAGAUCCGUGGUCAAAAGGGAAACAGCCCAGACCGCCAGCUAAGGUCCCAAAGUGUAAGUUAAGUGGAAAAGGAUGUGGGAUCUCUAAGACAACUAGGAUGUUGGCUUAGAAGCAGCCACUCAUUUAAAGAGUGCGUAAUAGCUCACUAGUCGAGAGGUCCUGCGCCGAAAAUGUACCGGGGCUAAACUUACCACCGAAGCUACGGAUUUGCAAGUAAUUGCAAGUGGUAGGGGAGCGUCGUAAUCGGGCUGAAGUCGUACCGGAAGGAGCGGUGGACUGAUUACGAGUGAGAAUGUUGGCAUUAGUAGCGAGAUGUAGGUGAGAAUCCUACAGGCCGAAUAUCUAAGGUUUCCUCAGGAAGGCUCGUCCGCUGAGGGUUAGUCGGGACCUAAGCCGAGGCCGAAAGGCGUAGGCGAUGGACAAUCGGUUGAUAUUCCGAUACCACUACCAUCGUUAUUAUCGAGGGUGUGACGGAGAAGGAUAGUGUGUGCUAGCGAUUGGAAAUGCUAGUCUAAGCGUUUAGGGAGUUACGGUAGGCAAAUCCGCUGUAACAAUUCUGAGGCGUGAUGGGGAAGGUCAUUAAGACCGAAGUACAUGAUUCCACGCUUCCAAGAAAAGCAUCUAGAGAGAGAAGUAGUGCCCGUACCGCAAACCGACACAGGUAGAUGAGGAGAGAAUCCUAAGGCCGGCGGAAGAAUUGCAGUUAAGGAACUAGGCAAAUUGACCCCGUAAGUUCGCGAGAAGGGGUGCCUGCGAGAGCAGGCCGCAGAGAAUAGGCCCAAGCAACUGUUUAGCAAAAACACAGGUCUCUGCUAAAGCGUAAGCUGAUGUAUAGGGGCUGACGCCUGCCCGGUGCUGGAAGGUUAAGGGGAACACUUAGCGCAAGCGAAGGUGUGAACUUAAGCCCCAGUAAACGGCGGCCGUAACUAUAACGGUCCUAAGGUAGCGAAAUUCCUUGUCAGGUAAGUUCUG